GAUGAACGCUAGCUACAGGCUUAACACAUGCAGGUCGAGGGGAAACGGGAGAAUAGCUUGCUAUUCUUUGUCGUCGACCGGCGCACGGGUGAGUAACGCGUAUCCAACCUUCCCAUAACUAAGGAAUACCCCGUAGAAAUGCGGCCUAAUCCCUUAUGGUCUCUUAUGCCUGUCAUGGGAAUAAGAGUAAAGAUUUAUCGGUUAUGGAUGGGGAUGCGUCUGAUUAGCUUGCUGGCGGGGUAACGGCCCACCAGGGCAUCGAUCAGUAGGGGUUCUGAGAGGAAGGUCCCCCACAUUGGAACUGAGACACGGUCCAAACUCCUACGGGAGGCAGCAGUGAGGAAUAUUGGUCAAUGGGCGGAAGCCUGAACCAGCCAAGUAGCGUGCAGGAUGACGGCCCUAUGGGUUGUAAACUGCUUUUUAAGGGAAUAAAGAGGGGCACGUGUGCCC
rnacentral:rRNA from 1 species